rnacentral:rRNA from 1 species
AUUGAACGCUGGCGGCAGGCCUAACACAUGCAAGUCGAGCGGUAGCACAGAGAGCUUGCUCUCGGGUGACGAGCGGCGGACGGGUGAGUAAUGUCUGGGAAACUGCCUGAUGGAGGGGGAUAACUACUGGAAACGGUAGCUAAUACCGCAUAAUGUCGCAAGACCAAAGUGGGGGACCUUCGGGCCUCAUGCCAUCAGAUGUGCCCAGACGGGAUUAGCUAGUAGGUGGGGUAACGGCUCACCUAGGCGACGAUCCCUAGCUGGUCUGAGAGGAUGACCAGCCACACUGGAACUGAGACACGGUCCAGACUCCUACGGGAGGCAGCAGUGGGGAAUAUUGCACAAUGGGCGCAAGCCUGAUGCAGCCAUGCCGCGUGUGUGAAGAAGGCCUUCGGGUUGUAAAGCACUUUCAGCGGGGAGGAAGGCGGUGAGGUUAAUAACCUCAUCGAUUGACGUUACCCGCAGAAGAAGCACCGGCUAACUCCGUGCCAGCAGCCGCGGUAAUACGGAGGGUGCAAGCGUUAAUCGGAAUUACUGGGCGUAAAGCGCACGCAGGCGGUCUGUCAAGUCGGAUGUGAAAUCCCCGGGCUCAACCUGGGAACUGCAUUCGAAACUGGCAGGCUAGAGUCUUGUAGAGGGGGGUAGAAUCCCAGGUGUAGCGGUGAAAUGCGUAGAGAUCUGGAGGAAUACCGGUGGCGAAGGCGGCCCCCUGGACAAAGACUGACGCUCAGGUGCGAAAGCGUGGGGAGCAAACAGGAUUAGAUACCCUGGUAGUCCACGCCGUAAACGAUGUCGAUUUGGAGGUUGUGCCCUUGAGGCGUGGCUUCCGGAGCUAACGCGUUAAAUCGACCGCCUGGGGAGUACGGCCGCAAGGUUAAAACUCAAAUGAAUUGACGGGGGCCCGCACAAGCGGUGGAGCAUGUGGUUUAAUUCGAUGCAACGCGAAGAACCUUACCUGGUCUUGACAUCCACAGAACUUUCCAGAGAUGGAUUGGUGCCUUCGGGAACUGUGAGACAGGUGCUGCAUGGCUGUCGUCAGCUCGUGUUGUGAAAUGUUGGGUUAAGUCCCGCAACGAGCGCAACCCUUAUCCUUUGUUGCCAGCGGUUAGGCCGGGAACUCAAAGGAGACUGCCAGUGAUAAACUGGAGGAAGGUGGGGAUGACGUCAAGUCAUCAUGGCCCUUACGACCAGGGCUACACACGUGCUACAAUGGCAUAUACAAAGAGAAGCGACCUCGCGAGAGCAAGCGGACCUCAUAAAGUAUGUCGUAGUCCGGAUUGGAGUCUGCAACUCGACUCCAUGAAGUCGGAAUCGCUAGUAAUCGUAGAUCAGAAUGCUACGGUGAAUACGUUCCCGGGCCU